AUCCAGCUGACGAAUCCCAAAUAGGAUGAAACGCGUGUCUUGAAU
rfam:Schistosoma mansoni, Puerto Rico, WGS project CABG01000000 data, contig: 0256